UUUGCAGAAGUCAUGUACCACACUUUGUCAACAAUAAAUGUUGUUUCUGCAAUCUGGAUAAAGAAUAAUAUAUUACUGCCUCUUGGAGAACAGCCGACCGUACUCCAGAGACAAAGACGUGAGGACAUCCAUUGCUUUUAAGUCAUGUACCACACUUUGUCAACAAUGCAUGUUGUUCCUGCAAUCUGGAUGAAGAAUAAU